GGAAAGCAGGAGGGAGGGGUGGGGGGUUAGUGUCAGGGCACCGUGACAGCUGGCUAUGGAGAGCAUGGUGGGAGGACCUCCCUUGGCACUACACAGGGUUUGAGCUACAAUUACUAUAAUGCUCAGCCAGCCUUAAAGUGGACAUUCUUAGCACGAUAACCACUUCAGAUAAUUAACCCCUUAGUGACCAGGCCGUUUGUCAAUUUUCUUACCAUUAAACCAGGGCUGUUUUUACAUUCUGCGGUAUUAUAUACUGAUCUAAUUUUUUAAGCCCUGAGGAUUAACUUUUCUUUAUUGUUUUAACCCUCAGGGGUUCAGUUAUUUCAUUAAUUAAUUUCAAUAUUUAAAACCUAU